AUUGAACGCUGGCGGCAGGCUUAACACAUGCAAGUCGAGCGGGCGAGGUUGCUUCGGUAACUGAGCUAGCGGCGGACGGGUGAGUAAUGCUUAGGAAUCUGCCUAUUAGUGGGGGACAACAUUCCGAAAGGAAUGCUAAUACCGCAUACGCCCUACGGGGGAAAGCAGGGGAUCUUCGGACCUUGCGCUAAUAGAUGAGCCUAAGUCAGAUUAGCUAGUUGGUGGGGUAAAGGCCUACCAAGGCGACGAUCUGUAGCGGGUCUGAGAGGAUGAUCCGCCACACUGGGACAGAGACACGGCCCAGACUCCUACGGGAGGCAGCAGUGGGGAAUAUUGGACAAUGGGCGCAAGCCUGAUCCAGCCAUGCCGCGUGUGUGAAGAAGGCCUUUUGGUUGUAAAGCACUUUAAGCGAGGAGGAGGCUACCGAGAUUAAUACUCUUGGAUAGUGGACGUUACUCGCAGAAUAAGCACCGGCUAACUCUGUGCCAGCCGCCGCCGUAAUAC
rnacentral:rRNA from 1 species